GACGAACGCUGGCGGCGUGCCUAAUACAUGCAAGUCGAACGCAGUGGGGACGGGUGAGUAACACGUGGGUAACCUCCCAUCAGAGGGGAUAACACUUGGAAACAGGUGCUAAACCGAUACUGAUGGAUGGACCCGCGGUGCAUUAGCGAGGUGGUGAGGUAACGGCGCACCAAGGCCACGAUGCAUAGCCGCCCUGAGAUGGUGAGCGGCCACACUGGGACUGCGACACGGCCCAGACUCCUACGGGAGGCAGCAGUGGGGAAUCUUCGGCAAUGGACGAAAGUCUGACCGAGAAACGACGCGUGAGUGAAGAAGGUUUUCGGAUCUGAAAACUCUGUUGUUAGAGAAGCGGUAUCUAACCAGAAAGCCACGGCUAACUACGUGCCAGCCGCCGCGGUAAUGC
rnacentral:rRNA from 1 species